AGAGUUUGAUCAUGGCUCAGAACGAACGUUGGCGGCGUGGAUUAGGCAUGCAAGUCGAGGGAAUGCCCGCAAGGGUGGAACCGGCGUAAGGGGCAGUAAGGCAUGGGUAACUUACCCUGGGAUUUGGCAUAGCCCGUAGAGAUACGGGGUAAUUCCAAGCGAUGUGGCUGCGGGGCCUCCCGCGGCCACCAAAGGAUUCUGUCCUGGGAGAGGCCCAUGUGGUAUUAGCUAGUUGGUGGGGUAACGGCCUACCAAGGCGAAGAUGCCUAGCGGGUGUGAGAGCACGACCCGCGCCAUUGGCACUGAGAACUGGCCAAACACCUACGGGUGGCUGCAGUCGAGGAUCUUCGGCAAUGGGCGCAAGCCUGACCGAGCGACGCCGCGUGUGCGAUGAAGGCCUUCGGGUUGUAAAGCACUGUCGAGGGGGAGAAAGGGCAACUUGAUCUAUCCCUGGAGGAAGCACGGGCUAAGUUCGUGCCAGCCGCCGCGGUAAUUC
rnacentral:rRNA from 1 species